rnacentral:rRNA from 1 species
CGGCCGUGGGGAUAUUGCACAAUGGGCGCAAGCCUGAUGCAGCGACGCCGCGUGAGGGAUGAAGGCCUUCGGGUUGUAAACCUCUUUCAGUAGGGAAGAAGCGAAAGUGACGGUACCUGCAGAAGAAGCGCCGGCUAACUACGUGCCAGCAGCCGCGGUAAUACGUAGGGCGCAAGCGUUAUCCGGAAUUAUUGGGCGUAAAGAGCUCGUAGGCGGUUUGUCGCGUCUGCCGUGAAAGCCCGGGGCUUAACCCCGGAUCUGCGGUGGGUACGGGCAGACUUGAGUGAUGUAGGGGAGACUGGAAUUCCUGGUGUAGCGGUGAAAUGCGCAGAUAUCAGGAGGAACACCGAUGGCGAAGGCAGGUCUCUGGGCAUUAACUGACGCUGAGGAGCGAAAGCU